AAUGGGGUCCUUGCAGCAGCUCAUGUCCUCAAGUCAAUAAAGAAACCUUUAUCCUUGCAUUCGGUUUCAGUCCUUGGAUACUGUGGCUUUGGAGAGAAAGAAGUGACCUUUGAAGCCUUUGCCUGUGGGGCUCACUGCAGAAUUGUGUCCGUGAAUGCUUCCUUGUAUUUUCUUGGAAACGAAUCAAAAGAUUACAGAGUCCUACACAACUGGGAGACACGAAGUAGAUGCUGAGUGACAAGAAGUCACUUCAGGUGUGGCACCGCGGCUCUGGCAGCAGAUACAAGAGAAUAACGCUCUGGAGAGGAGGUAGGGACACUCUGCCAUCGGCCAGUGGAUAGACGAAAGUCCCAGCUGAAGGCGGGAUCUUUAAUUCUAUGGUUUAUCUUCCACUGCUCACACCUCUGUCUUCAUAGAUGGUGAUUUCAAUAACUCGGAGUCCUCUCUCAAUGGGGUCUGUUAGGAGGAGGCCUUGAGGAGCAUAUAUCUUCUCAUUCUGUUCUUGAAUGUAUUUGCAGACUUUCUUCAGGACCUUCUCAUAAUGAGUUUC
rnacentral:lncRNA from 1 species